AUGAAGAUCUCACUCUCCUUAUUCCUGCUACUGAUCAGCUUCAGCAGUGUGAAAUGUGAAAGUCUUAAAUCGUUACAAACCACAGUGCAGAAGAAACCUGGAGAAACACUGAGUCUCUCCUGCAGAGGAUCUGGGUUUACUUUUGGAAGCUACCAAAUGCACUGGAUCAGAAAGCAGGAGAACAAACCACUGGUGUGGGUGGGACGUGUCUCUACUGAUGGCAGUGGCACUGAUUAUAGUAAAUCAUUUGAAGGAAGAAUAGAAAUCACCAGAGAUAAUUACAACAGCAUGGUGUAUCUGAAACUCUCUGGUGUGACAGCAGAGGACACAGCUGUGUAUUACUGCGCAAGAACCACCGUAGCAGAAAUAUGA